GCCCUUGCGACGGCCGCUGUCCCCCGCAGAUGCCCUCUGCAGCUCCUGCGUGCGGGCCCCGCUCUGUAUUGCCCUCCUCGUGUGGGACCCGGUUUCGUCUUCACUGCAGGCCUGCCGAGUCGGAAGCAUCUCCAUUGUGCAGAUGGGGAAACUGAGGCCCAGAGCGCGCAGUUGGGCUGGCCACGAAGGCAGGGCCGCCGGAUGCUGUGCGGGGAUGGGGCCCUGCAGCCCUUGCGCCUCUCACCAUGCGGCCUCAGGCCCCUGGGCCCGGCAGCGUCUCUGGAGUGGGCAUUUUGAACGAGCGCCCUACUGAUUUUCACACAAACUUAAGUCUGAAGACCGUGCGGGGGCGGAUGUCUGCCCCUUUGGUGACCAGCUCACAGCUCCCUCGGGAAGACGAUUGACUGGGGAAUGGGGACCCUGGGGAGGGGGCCUUCAUGGUUCCAUCUGUCUGUUUACGCCAGAAAACAGAGAUUUCUGUUUUUUUUCCGCUGGGCUCACAGCAGUUGCUUAAUAAACAGAUCUUGUGGCUGGAGCAGAGGCCAGUGGGAUUCAGGCAGAACUCCAGGAUUCAACCCCUGGAUCUGGGAGGCUUCCCACCCGUGCACAUAUCCCUGACUUAA